GAGGAGGGAGGGAGCCGUUUGGUUUCCUGUUCCAGGCUGAUCGCGUCAGACAAAGCUGGCCAUGGGUUUUUACACAAAUUCUAUCCGUCUUCAGAUCCACUUCGCCGUUAAUCAAAGCGAUCAGGAGAACCAGAUCGGAGGGGAACCCGAGUCUGUCCCCGACUUUACGUGAGAGCAGACCCGGGAGGAAAUGUCGUCUUCACCCCGGGGGCAGAGGGAGGCGCGAUGAUCUACGAGCAAAUGUCGUGAUCGGACAGAAGAGGGGUUCGAUUUUAGCAGAAGCCGAGGUUCCGGCCACGUCACUCAAAGAGAAACCCGUACAUGUGAGGAAAUGAAGGAGAGUUCAACAUCAACCAAUGAAGUUGCCUGAAAC